rnacentral:rRNA from 1 species
UGGGGAAUUUUGGACAAUGGGCGAAAGCCUGAUCCAGCAAUGCCGCGUGUGUGAAGAAGGCCUUCGGGUUGUAAAGCACUUUUGUCCGGAAAGAAAUCCUUGGCUCUAAUACAGUCGGGGGAUGACGGUACCGGAAGAAUAAGCACCGGCUAACUACGUGCCAGCAGCCGCGGUAAUACGUAGGGUGCAAGCGUUAAUCGGAAUUACUGGGCGUAAAGCGUGCGCAGGCGGUUUGCUAAGACCGAUGUGAAAUCCCCGGGCUCAACCUGGGAACUGCAUUGGUGACUGGCAGGCUAGAGUAUGGCAGAGGGGGGUAGAAUUCCACGUGUAGCAGUGAAAUGCGUAGAGAUGUGGAGGAAUACCGAUGGCGAAGGCAGCCCCUGGGCCAAUACUGACGCUCAUGCACGAAAGCGUGGGGGAGCAAACAGGAUUAGAUACCCUGGUAGUCCACGCCCUAAACGAUGUCAACUAGUUGUUGGGGAUUCAUUUCCUUAGUAACUAGCUAACGCGUGAAGUUGACCGCCUGGGGAGUACGGUC